rnacentral:lncRNA from 1 species
GCCGCAUGCCGCAUUUAAUGGUGAUUUCCAUGUGUCCUUGAAACAAACGCAUCCCUCAGAUUUUUCCACCUUCUAAUGUAAGUGUGUUUUCCUCCGCUUUUGUGUCCGGAUUACAUUGGAAUACCAUGUUUUCUCUGCCACCGAGUAUACUUUGUGGGUGCUGAUUCAUGACUCUCUCUGAUAGUGCUACGAUAGAAUGCUUGUAUCAUGAGGAUGUUACUCUUGCCUGCCGCUCUUGUUUACACACUGAUUCGUCUGCUUUGAGUGCAUCCACUUUCUCCAGAUUCGAUUCAGAUAAUGCGAUGAUUCAUUGUUAGUCCGGCGAAUUUCUCUUUCAGGUUCUGUAUAGAUCAAUCGAAAGAAAACUUCACAUCAAGGAGGCAUCUGAACAUUCCUUUAGGCAGAACUUUGGAUAGUGCAUCAAACACAAAUUUACAAAGGAUCCACUGGGCACUGUUUUGGAGGCUACUCCUACAGUAUUCAUGAAGACUGAAGUUACCUAAUCAGACUUUCAAACGAAUGCAACCCAGAUGUCGUCAUAUCUGCAUCCCAACCUGUCGAAAGACUCGAAUAGGCAUCCAUCCAAAUCUAAUUACGUAUCCAGAGGACAAAUCACCACUCUUCAAGACGGAAUUCCAAUGAUGGCAUCAGGUCUAAAAUGUGUGGAAGAUUCGCUGGACACUAUUCCAGAGGUUCUGUCCUUCCACCGUGAACAUAACGUGGUCGACGUCUGCGGUUAUCCUCGGCGGGAGUGCCACUGA